GACGAACCGUGCGAACGUUGUUCGGAAUCACUGGGCUUAAAGGGCGCGUAGGCGGGCCGCCAAGUCGGGGGUGAAAUCUUUCGGCCCAACCGGAAAAGGGCCUUCGAUACUGGCGGUCUGGAGUGGGGUAGGGGCAUGCGGAACUUCCGGUGGAGCGGUGAAAUGCGUAGAUAUCGGAAGGAACGCCGGUGGCGAAAGCGGCGUGCUGGACCCCGACUGACGCUGAGGCGCGAAAGCCAGGGGAGCAAACGGG
rnacentral:rRNA from 1 species